rnacentral:rRNA from 1 species
UACGUAGGGUGCGAGCGUUAAUCGGAAUUACUGGGCGUAAAGCGUGCGCAGGCGGUUUUGUAAGUCUGACGUGAAAUCCCCGGGCUUAACCUGGGAAUUGCGUUGGAGACUGCAAGGCUAGAAUCUGGCAGAGGGGGGUAGAAUUCCACGUGUAGCAGUGAAAUGCGUAGAGAUGUGGAGGAACACCGAUGGCGAAGGCAGCCCCCUGGGUCAAGAUUGACGCUCAUGCACGAAAGCGUGGGGAGCAAACAGGG